UCUGCUCUAAUUUUCUUCAUUUAGAUGUUUGUUUCGUUUUUAUGUUUACUUGAGACACGUUACUUUAACACCUGCAUUUCCCUACCUGUGCUCCUCAAAAGCUAACUUUUAAUUUUAUUUUUCCAUUUCUUCAUUCAGAAAAGCGAACACGUGUUUCAGAAAUCCUUCUUCAAUGUUCUACUGCUGAAAAUGAUCAUUUAUAGCAAUAAAUCGUCUUUUUACAGCUGUGACUCGAACAAUUUGUUGCCUAUAGCAACGUGGCUGUAGUUUAACAGUUCAGCUGCGUCAGUCAGGUGGCGCAGACUGUGAUCCACCUCCAAACCCUGACCCGUUUCAGAUGAUCCGGUUUGAAGCCAGUCUGGCAGAGUGAAGAACAUGAACGAAAACCAAGAAGGUGAAAGUCAUGGCUGGAGGAACUCAACAUCCACCCUCUCUCUAGACAAGAUCCUGGCGACCUUCUCCUCAGACAAGCACUCCAGCUGCUUUAGACCUCCUUCUGUUGCAAGCAGCAGCAAAAGCGGGUCUUCUUCCAGGAAAGCUGGGAAGUGUCGCAGUGAUAAAAAAUCCACACAUUUGGAUGCUGCGCUCAGUGACAUCCAGCAGGUCAGAGAAACCCAAAAGAACCUCGAUAAAUCCCUGCAAACCUUGAAGACGGAGUACGAGCGGGACCACAACGACAUGCUGCGUGUGAUGGAGGAAGAAAUGUCAAGAAUUUUGACUUUAACAUCCGAAUACUGGCUACUGUUUUCGUCACAAUUCAGAGUUCUGACUUGUUUGGUGAUGCGGUGUUUUGGGUUGGCAGACUGAAUGUUUUGGAGCGGGAACUCGCUUACCUGACUGAGCUUCAUCAGAGGGAAACGUCGAACUUGAAAGAGGAGAUAAACAGCAUAAAGGAUAUCAUUGACUUUCAGUAUAACAACAAAGCGGAGGAGUUUUCUGUGGCGCUGGACAAAUGCCAGAGCCAUCUCCUGAAGAUGGAGCUGCAGCAGCAAGAGAUGGAUCUUGUGAGACACGAAGACAGCAUAGCACAGAUUACCAUCGCGAAACUAAUCAAAGGGCUGCUUGUUGUCAUGUCGACCCUCUUGGUGUUUGUGUGCACACUGAACCGAGUCGUCUUGAUUUUCAAGUCAUCCAAGCACAUCCUCUCUGUUGUGCUCCUGGCUGUCUUCCUCUUCCUCUUGUUUAAGUACUGGGACAUUGAUAGCUGACUGGAGUCCAAGAAGAUGCAAAAAAUAAACCUUUUUGAAAACCA